UUUGGAAAAGGCAUGCACUAGUAAAUUAAGCAUUGUAUAUACUUUGUGUAGUGUUGUUCCCUGUGACCUUCUCUAAGAAGAGGAAGAUGGCAUUUGGCUCCCACUUGGCAUUGUCUCAGUUUGCAUGAGAGAGGUAAGAACAUCACUAUGGUCUUUCUCUCAUUGAUUAAGUUUCCCCAUGUUGAUAUGGAUCAUAUCAUAUUGACAACAAAACAAAAUUAAUGACAUCACAAUAUUUAAUAACUAGCGUUACAUUUUUCUAAAGAAACCUACUGCAUAUUUUUGUGGCUGAGAAGAUCCAUUAACAGUGCCGCCCAAGAGGAUAAGAGUAGGGUGAGAAUUGAAGUCCCGAAUCCCCUAAAAUUUAAUGUAUUAUUUAUUGUCCUUUGGAGUUCUGAGUACUUUUU
rnacentral:lncRNA from 1 species